rnacentral:rRNA from 1 species
GACGAACGCUGGCGGCGUGCUUAACACAUGCAAGUCGAACGGUGAAGCGCCUUCCUUUUUGGUGGGUGUGGAUGAGUGGCGAACGGGUGAGUAACACGUGAGUAACCUGCCCCCUUCUUCUGGAUAACCGCAUGAAAGUGUGGCUAAUACGGGAUAUUCUGGGUCUGUCGCAUGAUGGGUCUGGGAAAGAUAUUGUUUCGGGGGGGAUGGGCUCGCGGCCUAUCAGCUUGUUGGUGGGGUGAUGGCCUACCAAGGCGGUGACGGGUAGCCGGCCUGAGAGGGUGGACGGUCACACUGGGACUGAGACACGGCCCAGACUCCUACGGGAGGCAGCAGUGGGGAAUAUUGCACAAUGGGCGCAAGCCUGAUGCAGCGACGCCGCGUGAGGGAUGGAGGCCUUCGGGUUGUGAACCUCUUUCGCCAGUGAAGCAGGCCUGCCUCGUUUGUGGGUGGGUUGACGGUAGCUGGAUAAGAAGCGCCGGCUAACUACGUG